rnacentral:snoRNA from 1 species
CUGACUGGCACAGGAUGCAGUACCUUAAGAGGCUAACACAGAAGGGGAAAGGAAAUCUCCGUAACACCCAGAAAAGAGUUUGAAAAACUCUUCUCUGGAUCCUGUCUGGGGUCACAGCU